rnacentral:rRNA from 1 species
UGGCGGACGGGUGAGUAACGCGUGGGUAACCUGCCUUACACAGGGGGAUAACACUUAGAAAUAGGUGCUAAAACCGCAUAAGCGCACAGCUUCGCAUGAAGCGGUGUGAAAAACUCCGGUGGUGUAAGAUGGACCCGCGUCUGAUUAGCUUGUUGGCGGGGUAACGGCCCACCAAGGCGACGAUCAGUAGCCGGCCUGAGAGGGCGGACGGCCACAUUGGGACUGAGACACGGUCCAGACUCCUACGGAAGGCAGCAG